AACGAUUAAGUGGUCGGGUGACGGCGUACCUUUUGUAUAAUGGGUCAGCGACUUAUAUUCUGUAGCAAGGUUAACCGAAUAGGGGAGCCGUAGGGAAACCGAGUCUUAAUAGGGCGAUUAAGUUGCAGGGUAUAGACCCGAAACCGAGUGAUCUAUCCAUGAGCAGGUUGAAAGUGCCGUAACAGGCACCGGAGGACCGAACCCACUGUCGUUGAAAAGCCAGGGGAUGACUUGUGGAUAGGGGUGAAAGGCUAAUCAAACUCGGUGAUAGCUGGUUCUCCCCGAAAGCUAUUUAGGUAGCGCCUCGGACGAAUACCAUUGGGGGUAGAGCACUGUUUCGGCUAGGGGGUCACACCGACUUACCAAACCGAUGCAAACUCCGAAUACCGAUGAGUAAUAUCCGGGAGACAGACGGCGGGUGCUAACGUCCGUCGUCAAGAGGGAAACAACCCAGACCGCCAGCUAAGGCCCCAAAUUCCUAGUUAAGUGGGAAACGAUGUGGGAAGGCACAGACAGCUAGGAGGUUGGCUUAGAAGCAGCCACCCUUUAAAGAAAGCGUAAUAGCUCACUAGUCGAGUCGGCCUGCGCGGAAGAUGUAACGGGGCUCAAACUAGGAGCCGAAGCUGCGGAUUUAAUUGUUUCAAUUAAGUGGUAGGGGAGCGUUGUGUAAGCCUGUGAAGGUGCACUGUAAGGUGUGCUGGAGGUAUCACAAGAGCGAAUGCUGACGUGAGUAACGACAAAACGGGUGAAAAGCCCGUUCGCCGGAAGACCAAGGGUUCCAGUCCAACGUUAAUCGGGGCUGGGUGAGUCGACCCCUAAGGCGAGGCCGAAAGGCGUAGUCGAUGGGAAAUCGGUUAAUAUUCCGAUACUUGUUUAUGAUGCGAUGGAGGGACGGAGAAGGUUAUGCCAGCCUGGCGAUGGUUGUCCAGGUGGAAGGAUGUAGUUAGACUGAGUAGGCAAAUCCGCUCGGUUAUUAAUGAGAUCUGAUAGCAAGCCAGUUUACUGGCAAAGUGGCAAAUACCCUGCUUCCAGGAAAAGCUUCUAAGCGAUAGUCAUAAACGAAUCGUACCCGAAACCGACACAGGUGGUCAGGUAGAGAAUACCAAGGCGCUUGAGAGAACUCUGCUGAAGGAACUAGGCAAAAUGGUACCGUAACUUCGGGAGAAGGUACGCUGCCGAUGGUGAUAAGACUUGCUCUUUGAGCUGUUGGCAGUCGCAGAUACCAGGCUGCUGCAACUGUUUAUUAAAAACACAGCACUCUGCAAACACGAAAGUGGACGUAUAGGGUGUGAUGCCUGCCCGGUGCUGGAAGGUUAAUUGAUGGGGUUAGCGUAAGCGAAGCUCUUGAUCGAAGCCCCAGUAAACGGCGGCCGUAACUAUAACGGUCCUAAGGUAGCGAAAUUCCUUGUCGGGUAAGUUCCGACCUGCACGAAUGGCAUAAUGAUGGCAGCGCUGUCUCCAGCAGAGACUCAGUGAAAUCGAAAUCGCAGUGAAGAUGCUGUGUACCCGCGGCUAGACGGAAAGACCCCGUGAACCUUUACUACAGCUUUACAUUGAACUUUGACCUAACUUGUGUAGGAUAGGUGGGAGGCUUUGAAGCAGAUACGCCAGUAUUUGUGGAGCCAACCUUGAAAUACCACCCUGGUUAUGUUGGGGUUCUAACUUAGGAUCAACAAAUCCAAGGACAAUGUAUGGUGGGUAGUUUGACUGGGGCGGUCUCCUCCUAAAGAGUAACGGAGGAGUACGAAGGUGCGCUCAGAACGGUCGGAAAUCGUUCAAAGAGUAUAAAGGCAAAAGCGCGCUUAACUGCGAGACCCACAAGUCGAGCAGGUACGAAAGUAGGUCUUAGUGAUCCGGUGGUUCUGUAUGGAAGGGCCAUCGCUCAACGGAUAAAAGGUACUCUGGGGAUAACAGGCUGAUACCGCCCAAGAGUUCAUAUCGACGGCGGUGUUUGGCACCUCGAUGUCGGCUCAUCUCAUCCUGGGGCUGAAGCAGGUCCCAAGGGUAUGGCUGUUCGCCAUUUAAAGAGGUACGCGAGCUGGGUUUAGAACGUCGUGAGACAGUUCGGUCCCUAUCUACCGUGGGCGUUGGAAAUUUGAGAGGAUCUGCUCCUAGUACGAGAGGACCAGAGUGGACGAACCUCUGGUGUUUCGGUUGUCACGCCAGUGGCAUUGCCGAGUAGCUAUGUUCGGAUGGGAUAACCGCUGAAAGCAUCUAAGCGGGAAGCCCACCUUAAGAUAAGAUUUCCCUAAAGAGCCGUUGU
rnacentral:rRNA from 1 species